rnacentral:misc_RNA from 1 species
UUAAGUUCAGCGGGUAUUCCUACCUGAUCCGAGGUCAACCUUGGGUAAAUAAGGCUUUUAACGGCCGGAACCCGCAGCACGCCCAGAGCGAGAUGUAACUACUACGCUCGGGGUGACAGCGAGCCCGCCACUGGUUUUCAGGGCCUGCGGCAGCCGCAGGUCCCCAACACAAGCCGGGGGCUUGAAGGUACAAAUGACGC